GCCAACAAACUAGCGUCUCGACACGAGCGCGUGUGGAUGUGCGAAGUGUGCGAGGUUGCUCCAGCCGUGGUGACCUGCAAGGCGGAUGCGGCUUCUCUCUGUGUGGCCUGUGACACAGACAUCCACUCCGCCAACCCGCUAGCGCAGCGUCACGAGAGAGUGCCGGUGACACCUCUGUUCGAGAGUGCGAGUCCUUUGCGUGGGCCAGAUUUCUGCGUGUUGGUGUCAGAGAAUGGGUGCCAUGAUCUGCUGAAGGGCUGUGAGGACGCCUCGGUUGUGGAAGCUGUCUCGUGGCUUCUUCCGCACCCUAAGAUCUCGACCAACUCUAUUAUCAGAGGCAGCGCUGCAGGUAGGACACGGUUGCUGUUUCAAAUCUGCCAGUCGCUUCUGAGGAGAGCAAUGGGCUUUACAGUUGCUUCGAAGUCAAGUUCUUGAUUAUCAUUCUUUUGUUUGUGAAUAGAGAAUGUGUUCUGAGACCUCCUUGUUGUCGUUAGAAAUUUCUCUCUUAAUGCCCUGGUUAGAGUCGAGGAGGAUUGAAACUAUUAUGCUGAGGUCGG
rnacentral:lncRNA from 1 species